GCGGAGGAAAAGAAACCAACAGGGAUUGCCUCAGUAACGGCGAGUGAAGCGGCAAAAGCUCAAAUUUUAAAGCUGGCAUCUUCGGUGUCCGCGUUGUAAUUUUGUGAGGCAUCUCCGGGCAGGGCGCCGGCCUAAGUUCCUUGGAACAGGACGUCACAGAGGGUGAGAAUCCCGUGCUUGGCUGGCUGUCCCCGUCCAUGUGAGGUGUCUUCGACGAGUCGAGUUGUUUGGGAAUGCAGCUCAAAAUGGGUGGUAAAUUUCAUCUAAAGCUAAAUAUUGGUGGGAGACCGAUAGCGCACAAGUAGAGUGAUCGAAAGAUGAAAAGCACUUUGAAAAUAGAGUUAAAAAGUACGUGAAAUUGUUGAAAGGGAAGCGCUUGAGACCAGACUUCGGUAGGGGGUGAUCAGCCGUCCUUCUGGGCGGUGCACUUGCCCCCCUCCGGGCCAGCAUCGGUUGAGGCGGCGGGAUAAAGGUCCCGGGAAUGUGGCUCCUUCACGGGAGUGUUAUAGCCCGGGUGAAUGCCGCCAGCUUCGACCGAGGACCGCGCCCGCAAGGGUUAGGAUGCUUGGCAUAAUGGUCUUCA
rnacentral:rRNA from 1 species